rnacentral:rRNA from 1 species
UACGUAGGGUGCAAGCGUUAAUCGGAAUUACUGGGCGUAAAGGGUGCGUAGGCGGUUUGAUAAGUCUGAUGUGAAAUCCCCGGGCUCAACCUGGGAACGGCAUUGGAGACUGUCAAGCUAGAGUGCGUCAGAGGGGGAUGGAAUUCCGCGUGUAGCAGUGAAAUGCGUAGAUAUGCGGAGGAACACCGAUGGCGAAGGCAAUCCCCUGGACCUGUACUGACGCUCAUGCACGAAAGCGUGGGGAGCAAACAGG